rnacentral:rRNA from 1 species
GACGAACGCUGGCGGCGUGCUUAACACAUGCAAGUCGAACGAUGAAGAAGAGAAACGCGAACUUCGGUUCAAAUUUCACUUCGGGUUAGUGGCAGACGGGUGAGUAACGCGUGAGCAACCUACCUCUUACAAAGGGAUAGCCUCGGGAAACCGUGAUUAAUACCAUAUGACACAUUCAUAAGGCAUCUUAAGAAUGUUAAAGCUACGGCGGUAAGAGAUGGGCUCGCGUCCCAUUAGCUAGUUGGUGAGGUAACGGCCCACCAAGGCGACGAUGGGUAACCGGCCUGAGAGGGUGAACGGUCACAUUGGAACUGAGACACGGUCCAAACUCCUACGGGAGGCAGCAGUGGGGAAUAUUGCACAAUGGAGGGAACUCUGAUGCAGCGACGCCGCGUGAGCGAUGAAGGAAUUCGUUUCGUAAAGCUCUGUUCUAUGGGAAGAAAAGGACUGUACCAUAGGAGAAAGCCCCGGCUAAAUACGUG